AGUCCCAUUCCAUCCGAUUCCAGGAGAGAGGAAGUAGAGUCUGUGGUAUGUAGUCCCAUUCCAUCCGAUUCCAGGAGAGAGGAAGUAGAGUCUGUGGUAUGUAGUCCCAUUCCAUCCGAUUCCAGGAGAGAGGAAGUAGAGUCUGUAUGUAGUCCCAUUCCAUCUGAUUCCAGGAGAGAGGAAGUAGAGUCUGUGGUAUGUAGUCCCAUUCCAUCCGAUUCCAGGAGAGAGGAAGUAGAGUCUGUAUGUAGUCCCAUUCCAUCCGAUUCCAGGAGAGAGGAAGUAGAGUCCUCAGUGUACAAUCCAAUACAAUGCAUUCGAUGACAGUAUUGCUGUGUGCUUUUCUGACCUCUGAGAUCAGAGAUAAUGCUAUCCAGGAAUGAAUGAAUAAAGGACAAACAUGUCUCCAGGGGGUUUAAUUAUGAGCCAGAGGUUGUAUCAAUGUGUAUAACAAUGUAUACAACCACUGACCUGGAACCUAUAGCUGUCAUUGUAUUGACACAUAUUACUACUCUGAUACAGCACUGUAGCGCCCUCUCCCUCUCUCACAUUAGACUGGGUGGUCCCACUUCCCAGUUCAGAAACCGGGAUCCAGACUGGCUUUUCAUACCAGGCUGCUACGGUCCAGAUCAGACCAGAUCACAUGGGUGGAGGACCACUAGAUCCAGUUCCACAGAAGGGAUUCAGACUAGAUCUGGUUGAAUCCAGUUGACAGAACAAAAAGGCAAUAAUUCAGUUCAUUUCAGUCAAGUUCAAUCAGUUCAGUCUCCGGUGCAAGAAACAGGCAACUAGCCCUAAGAAGAGAAUUGUGUCAGCCAAUCAGAUUGCAUGAAAAAGCGUAACUGUGUUUCAUUUCGAUCAGCUGCUCCAAUAGAAAGUCAGGUCCUCUUCUCCUCUGUAAUAAAUGCUGUAUGCAGUGUGCAUGUUUCAACAGGCUACCUCCACCACAUGUUGAGACACACACACUCUGAAACAUACCUACACAUGCAGGCCCAAUGUCCAAAGUCAUAACAGGUCUUCUCUUCAUGCUCUGUGUGAAUGUCGUCUUCUAAGCAGCAGCACACACACACACACACACACACACACACACACACACACACACACACACACACACACACACACACACACACACACACACACACACACACACACACACACACACACAAAGAAGCCUUCCAACUUCCCACCUUCACUUCACACACUCACACCAGUCCGCUCAACACACACACACACACACACACACACACACACACACACACACACACACACCUUGUCAACCAAUGUCAUUCAGAAGGUCUUCUAACUCCCUAUUUUCCAUGUUCCCUUAAUCUCCUGUCCCCUUUCCCCCAAAUCCUCAGUCCUCGUCAUCCUUCACCCCUCCUGCCCAAGCCCUCCCAUUGCUGGUUGGCAUGGCGACACUGAUGGGAUGGCCGUUGCUAGGAGAUGGUGAUGGCAGCGAGAAGGAGCGUCGCUAUGGUGAUGAGUAGGCGAUCCCUGGAUGGGCUGCUUCCACUGACACUCUUCUCCAGUUUAGGAAUCUCAGGGUUAAAAUCAUC
rnacentral:lncRNA from 1 species